AUUGAACGCUGGCGGCAUGCCUUACACAUGCAAGUCGAACGGCAGCGGACCUUCGGGUGCCGGCGAGUGGCGAACGGGUGAGUAAUGCAUCGGAACGUACCUUUCAGUGGGGGAUAACGUAGCGAAAGUUACGCUAAUACCGCAUAUUCUGUGAGCAGGAAAGCAGGGGAUCGCAAGACCUUGCGCUGAUUGAGCGGCCGAUGUCAGAUUAGCUAGUUGGUGAGGUAAAGGCUCACCAAGGCGACGAUCUGUAGCGGGUCUGAGAGGAUGAUCCGCCACACUGGAACUAAGACACGGUCCAGACUCCUACGGGAGGCAGCAGUGGGGAAUUUUGGACAAUGGGGCAACCCUGAUCCAGCCAUGCCGCGUGAGUGAAGAAGGCCUUCGGGUUGUAAAGCUCUUUCGGCCGGGAAGAAAUCGCACGGGCUAAUACCCUGUGUGGAUGACGGUACCGGAAUAAGAAGCACCGGCUAACUACGUGCCAGCAGCCGCAGUAAUAC
rnacentral:rRNA from 1 species